rfam:Triticum aestivum genome assembly, contig: Triticum_aestivum_CS42_TGACv1_scaffold_161334_2DL
CAACUACUCCCUCUGUCCCAAAUUUCUUGUCUUAGAUUUGUCUAGAUACGGAUGUAUCUAAUACUAAAAUGUGACUUGAUACAUCCGUAUCUGGACAAAUCUAAGACAAGAAUUUUGGGACGGAGGGAGUACUUU